rnacentral:rRNA from 1 species
UACGAAGGGGGCUAGCGUUGUUCGGAUUUACUGGGCGUAAAGCGCACGUAGGCGGAUCGUUAAGUCGGGGGUGAAAUCCUGGAGCUCAACUCCAGAACUGCCUUUGAUACUGAAGAUCUUGAGUUCGGGAGAGGUGAGUGGAACUGCGAGUGUAGAGGUGAAAUUCGUAGAUAUUCGCAAGAACACCAGUGGCGAAGGCGGCUCACUGGCCCGAUACUGACGCUGAGGCACGAAAGCGUGGGGAGCAAACAGG